rnacentral:rRNA from 1 species
CCCUUAGAUGUCCUGGGCCGCACGCGCGCUACAAUGAUAAAUUCAGAAUGUUUUUCCUGCCCUGGAAAGGUGUGGGUAAUCAUUAUAGUAUUUAUCGUGUUAGGGAUCGAUCUUUGCAAUUAUAGAUCUUGAACGAGGAAUGCCUAGUAAGUGCAGCUCAUCAGGCUGUACUGAUUACGUCCCUGCCCUUUGUACACACCGCCCGUCGCACCUACCGAUUGAAUGGUCCGGUGAAAUCUCGGGACGGCGGCUUGGUCGCUUGCGUCCGACUGCUGAAACUUGAUUAAACCAUAUCAUUUAGAGGAAGGUGAAGUCGUANCA